rnacentral:sRNA from 1 species
CGAUACCCUGGUUGAUGAGGUGGAAGCCGCAAGGCGGAUGCCAAGUUGGCCGGGGAUAUAGCGGCAGAUUGGUGCGUAACGCGUGAGUAAUUUACCUCCAAGUCGGGGAUAGCCUUACGAAAGUGAGGGUAAUACCCGAUGUGUUUAUGCUGGCAUAAGCCGGUAUAAGUAAAGAUAGCCCGCAAGGGCCGUUGUUUGGAGAUGAGCUCGCUUCCUAUCAGCUAGUUGGCAGGGUAUUGGCCUACCAAGGCAAAUAACGGGUAGCUGGCCUGAGAGGGUGGUCAGCCACAUUGGGUCCUUGACACUACGACNACUCCUACGGGAGGUCGGAUGU